UACAGAGGGUGCGAGCGUUAAUCGGAUUUACUGGGCGUAAAGGGCGCGUAGGCGGUUAAAUGAGUGUGAUGUGAAAGCCCCGGGCUUAACCUGGGAAGGGCAUCGCAAACGGUUUGACUGGAGUAUAUGAGAGGGUGGCGGAAUUUCCGGUGUAGCGGUGAAAUGCGUAGAGAUCGGAAGGAACGUCGAUGGCGAAGGCAGCCACCUGGCAUAAUACUGACGCUGAGGCGCGAAAGCGUGGGGAGCGAACAGG
rnacentral:rRNA from 1 species